GAUGAACGCUAGCGGCAGGCCUAAUACAUGCAAGUCGAACGGCCCCGACACUUCGGUGUCGGGGUAGUGGCGCACGGGUGCGUAACGCGUACACAACAUACCCUUUACAGGGGGAUAGCGGCGGGAAACUGCCAGUAAUACCCCAUGUCCUUGCGAGGUGGCAUCAUUUUUGCAAAGAAAGUUCAAGCGGUAAAGGAUUGGUGUGCGUCCGAUUAGCUAGUUGGCGGGGUAAUGGCCUACCAAGGCUACGAUCUGUAACCGGUCUUAGAGGACGGUCGGUCACACUGACACUGAAUAACGGGUCAGACUCCUACGGGAGGCAGCAGUCGGGAAUUUUGGGCAAUGGGGGAAACCCUGACCCAGCAACGCCGCGUGAAGGAUGAAGUAUUUCGGUAUGUAAACUUCGAAAGAAUAGGAAGAAUUAAUGACGGUACUAUUUAUAAGGUCCGGCUAACUACGUG
rnacentral:rRNA from 1 species